UCUUUUUUUUAGCAGAAUCAAUCUGCAAUUGGACUGAUCACAGAUACAUCUUUUUACUUGCAGGGACGGCCGGCGGAAUCUUAACAUCGGUGGCUGAUGCAGGCGCCUCAGGGCGAGCUCAGAGACUAGGAGGGUGUUUGUUUCCAGGGACUUAUUGGUUUAGGGACUUAAAAAAGUCCCUAUAAGUCCCAUCUAAACCAAACAGGAGGGAUUUAUAGGACUUAAAAUGGUGAUUUGGGACUUAUAAAAAAGACUCUCAGGGAGGAACUUAUAGGGACUUAUAGUGAUGAUUUGGGUCUUUUAGCAUGUCAUUUAAUAACCUCUAGCCCAUGAUAAAUCCUGUAAACAAACAGGUAGGGACUCGGGACUUAUAAGUUGGGACUAAAAAAGUCCUAAAACUUGUGAAACAAACAGGGCCUAGGUUGCCACUACUCCGUUUCCGGCUCAAAGUACUACUUGAGAUUUCCUUCGAUUUGACUCGGCCUUCACUUUAGAAAAAGGAAUCGAUAACGCCCGAACGUGCUAGAUUUUGGCAAAUCGCCCCGAAUGCUGCACCUACCAUACAAUACCUUUAGCACGAAUCACAGAACAAAUCCAGUGUCACGUCAUCUUUUUAGAUCGUUCGGGCUGUAGCCCCAACGCCCGAACGCUCGAGCACUUCUCUCCCUUAUCCUCUCACUCCACCGCACUAGCCUUUCCCCAUUCUCCUAUCCACUCCUCUCCUGGCUGCUCCUCGGGCCAGCAGCAACCGUCGACGGGGAGCGCAGCUCGCCUUGUGUCGCGGCGGAGCAGGCGGCGGAACAGCCGGAGGAUGAGGAAGCUGGUGGAGGCGCGGUGUGACGGCAGCGGUGCGUGGUGGCUCGCCGAGGACGAUGAAGCGAGCGGAGGCGGCGACUCCCAGGCCAGCGCGGAUCAGCGGGGCUCCGACGCCGUGAGGAUAUGGCUAAGAUGGAGGUGGCGCGGCGCGAGCACUCGGUGGCUGGGGCACGUCGCGGAUGCAGCUGCGUGGUUGCGCUUGGAGUGCGAGUAAGCGGGCGGGGGCAGCGGCGCUGAGGCCCGCUAGACUCCGGUGGAUGUGGCCCUUGGUCGCCGCCGUCCGCUGGUCUCUUCGCCCGGCGAAUCGACGCCGGAUUUGUAGGGUCCAACGGCGCGGGGUGGCUCUGGUGACCUUGCGCAAGGACGGCACGCGCGGGGAAGACAACCACCAUGGCCAACCUAGUGGCGUCCCUGGGGCUCGGCAAUCACGAUGGGGUUCGAACUUCGCGGCCCGUGACGAGGCGGCUGUCGGCGCCAGAGGUCGACUCCCCGGUCAACGUCUCCUUCCUACGAAGAAGAAGAGAUUAUUCUUCAGAGAAUUGUGGCGUUUCUUUUGGUUUGUAACCAUCAUCAAUAACACAUGGGCAACUAUUCAGUAAUCUGUGUACCUUACACUACUUCCUCUUGUUUGUACUGAUAUGUGGAUUCCUCAAAUUUUGAAGCAGCCUCAACGUUACCAUCAGAUUCUAAUUCACUUUGACAUGUCUCAAAUUCUGUUAUAUUUUUUCCUAGCUGAUUUCUGAGUCAAGUUGUGAUAAAUUAGUUAGCUUAGCUAUGUACUGAAGUUAGUUUAGUUUGGUGUGUACCCGAGGUUCUGCUUAAAAUAGUUACCAUUGUAUUAGACAUAUAUUUGACAUCUUAUUUAGCAAGAUAUUCCUCGAGAAUA